UACGAAGGGGGCUAGCGUUGUUCGGAUUUACUGGGCGUAAAGCGCAUGUAGGCGGGUUGUUAAGUUGGGGGUGAAAUCCCGAGGCUCAACCUCGGGACUGCCUUGAAAACUGGCGACCUGGAGCAUGAUAGAGGCGAGUGGAAUUCCGAGUGUAGAGGUGAAAUGCGUAGAUAUUCGGAGGAACACCAGUGGCGAAGGCGACUCGCUGGAUCAUUGCUGACGCUGAGAUGCGAAAGCGUGGGGAGCAAACAGG
rnacentral:rRNA from 1 species